GCCUCUGUGGCGCAAUUGGCUAGCGCGUUCGGCUGUUAACCGGAAGGCUGGUGGUUCGAUCCCACCCAGGGUCG
rnacentral:tRNA from 1 species